rnacentral:rRNA from 1 species
GACGAACGCUGGCGGCGUGCUUAACACAUGCAAGUCGAGCGAGCGGCGGACGGGUGCGUAAUGUAUGGGGACUGCCCGAUAGAGGGGGAUAACUACUGGAAACGGUGGCUAAUACCGCAUACUAUCGGAUAACCCAUAUGGGCGUAGCUAGUAGGUGGGGUAAAGGCUCACCUAGGCGACGAUCUCUAGCUGGUCUGAGAGGAUGAGCAGCCACACGGGGACUGAUACACGGCCCAGACUCCUACGGAGGCAGCAGUGGGGAAUAUUGCACAAUGGGCGCAAGCCUGAUGCAGCCAUGCCGCGUGUAUGAAGAAGGCCUUAGGGUUGUAAAGUACUGUCAGCGGGGAGGCGUUACCCGGAGAAGAAGCACCGGCUAACUCCGUGCCAGCAGCCGCGGUAAUUC